rnacentral:tRNA from 1 species
GCAAAGUGCAAWUUUGAAGAAGCACCCCAAAAGGUGCCCCGGCUUCUCCCGUUU